AAGCGCGGGGCAUGCUGGGAAGGCAACCCGGGAAGGGUGGGACCCUGGGGCCUGGUGAGGAGCUAAGUGGCCAAGUAGAGUGCUUUGUGAGUCUCUCCUUGGAAGGACUGUCUUUAAAUUGAAGCAAUUAGAGUUACUUUAUGAGAUUUACCCAAAUAUAAGAGCUGAAGAGAAUAAUUCAAAUUGAUCAGAAGAAAAUACUCAAUUACUGAAAAAUAUCAAUUACAUCAAUAGGAGGAGAUAAUGCUGUGUAAUUGUAAGCAGCUGAACUACAAUAUCUCUGUAACAUUUUGCUGGUGACUCCAGCCCUGUGAGAUCUGGGUGGCUCAAGAAUCAAAUUCUCCCACAAACCUGAGGAAGCCUUUUAUUCUUAAUGCAACAGGAUGCCCCAUGUCCAGAAUGUCAAAUCUGAACACCAAUGGAAUGCAUUUUAUAAACACAAUUGAAAAAGCACAAUCUUUAACAGAAUUGUUGUUCUCUAGGCAGAUUAAUUUUGCUUCAAAUACAAAAUGAAAUAUUGGAGAACAAAAUUAUUUUUAAACAGCUAAUACUGAGUAGAAAAUAAAAGGCUGAAAAGUGCUAUAAUGUGUAAAAGGAUUAAAAUUUACUUUCAUUACUUAUU